AGUUUGAUCAUGGCUCAGGAUGAACGCUAGCGGGAGGCCUAACACAUGCAAGCCGAGCGGUAGAGAUUCUUCGGAAUCUUGAGAGCGGCGUACGGGUGCGGAACACGUGUGCAACCUACCUUUAUCUGGAGGAUAGCCUUUCGAAAGGAAGAUUAAUACUCCAUAAUAUAUUGAUUGGCAUCAAUUGAUAUUGAAAGCUCCGGCGGAUAGAGAUGGGCACGCGCAAGAUUAGUUAGUUGGUGAGGUAACGGCUCACCAAGACGAUGAUCUUUAGGGGGCCUGAGAGGGUGAUCCCCCACACUGGUACUGAGACACGGACCAGACUCCUACGGGAGGCAACAGUGAGGAAUAUUGGUCAAUGGGUGCAAGCCUGAACCAGCCAUCCCGCGUGAAGGACGACUGCCCUAUGGGUUGUAAACUUCUUUUGUAUAGGGAUAAACCUACCCUCGUGAGGGUAGCUGAAGGUACUAUACGAAUAAGCACCGGCUAACUCCGUG
rnacentral:rRNA from 1 species